rnacentral:rRNA from 1 species
UACGUAGGGUCCGAGCGUUAUCCGGAAUUAUUGGGCGUAAAGAGCGUGUAGGUGUUCCUACAAGUUGGUCGUUAAAUCUCACUGCCCAACAGUGAGACUGCGAGCAAAACUGUAGGAAUUGAGUUAUGCAGGGGCGAGUAGAAUUCUUGGAGUAGGGGUAAUAUCCGUUGAUACCAAGAGGAAUACCAAUGGCGAAGGCAGCUCGCUGGGCAAUAACUGACACUGAGUACGCGAAAGCGUGGGUAGCGAACGGG